rnacentral:rRNA from 1 species
UGACCUCGGAUCAGGUAGGGAUACCCGCUGAACUUAAGA